AUCCUAACUCGGAGCUCUUAUU
rnacentral:miRNA from 12 species